rnacentral:rRNA from 1 species
AACGAACGCUGGCGGCAGGCCUGACACAUGCAAGUCGAACGCCCCGCAAGGGGAGUGGCGCACGGGUGAGUAACGCGUGGGAAUAUGCCCUUCGGUUCGGAAUAACACAGGGAAACUUGUGCUAAUACCGGAUACGAUCUACGGAUGAAAGAUUUAUCGCCGAGGGAGUAGCCCGCGUAGGAUUAGCUAGUUGGUGAGGUAAUGGCUCACCAAGGCGACGAUCCUUAGCUGGUCUGAGAGGAUGAUCAGCCACACUGGGACUGAGACACGGCCCAGACUCCUACGGGAGGCAGCAGUGGGGAAUAUUGGACAAUGGGCGAAAGCCUGAUCCAGCCAUGCCGCGUGAGUGAUGAAGGCCUUAGGGUUGUAAAGCUCUUUCGCCAGGGAAGAUAAUGACGGUACCUGGAAAAGAAGCCUCGGCUAACUCCGUGCCAGCAGCCGCCGUAA